rnacentral:lncRNA from 1 species
AUGCGGGGUUCAGCCUGGCUGCCCCUGCAAGAGGCACAGAGGGGAACCCCUCAGCAAGAACGGCUUGGGAGUCCCAAGUCACCGGGCGGGGGGGCAGCCGGGAGCAGAGGAGGGGAGCAGGCAGCCGCAGCCCCGGGUCCCAGGCAGGCUCUGCCCUCCAGCCCUGAAGGCAGCCAGGCAGCACGGGACAGCUGUGAGCUGAGCAGGAGGAGAGACCUGCUAACACACAGGGAAGCGCCCAGAGAAGGGCCCGUCCUGGAGCGGGGUGCAGCCCUGUCCCGACAGUGGUCAAGCACAGGGGAGCAGGGCCAGCAAGGUGUGGCCGCCCAGCCGGGCUCAGCCAAGGGCCCCGUGGCGCCAGCAUCUGCUGGGCUGUGUGGCAGGGUGGCGGGCAGGCGAGGAGUGGGUGGAGGAGCGCCAGGGGCAGGCAGGGGUCAGGGCAGGAGACCCACCAGGCAGGGUGGGGAUGAGGGAGUUCAGGGGGGCCCAGGGGAGCAGGGUCUCUGCAGGGCUUCACAGGCCCCGGGCUCCGAGUGAGCGAGCCGUGGACCUUUCCUCCCCUCUUGGCUGGAACUCCCCCGCCUUCUGCCGAAUCAACUAUUGAUGAGGCCCUGCAGCGGAGGGUGGGGGUGCAGAUCCCAGGGAGCCCCUCAGCGGCUGUUUCCAGCCUCGCAGAGACUGCAGGGGCCUGGACAAGAUGGGCUAGUUCCUGAGGGCCUGGCCGGCGACACAGUCCGGGCCAUGGCUUCCCGUGGUCAGAGACCUAGGGCACCCUUGGGCGGGGUGGGGGGAUGCCACCCUUCCGUUGGGGACCAGGGGGUG